rnacentral:other from 4 species
AAGGCUUUAGAUCAACACUUUGAUUUAUAAGCAUGGAAAUCCCCUGAGUGAAACAACGAAUUGCUGUGUGUAGUCUUUGCCCAUCUCCCACGAUGGGCUUUUUUUUGU